rnacentral:lncRNA from 1 species
CGCCCUUCGUAUCAACACGCCAUUUGUAAACAUGAAAGGUCAUGUGAAAGGAAACUUUUAAACAGUAAUUUGACGAUUGAUUUUAAAUGGAUAAUGAAUGUCAUUGAGCGAUUUACAGAUCAACCAUUGAUGAACUACUGAGAAACAUCUGGCAUAUUGCUAUGACCUUAAACAAAAAAAAAAAAGGAAUUCUCAAGGCAUGCCUGUAUACCACAUGUUGGAAGAGUUUGUGGAAUGGCUGAAGGAAGAAAGAAUUUCCAGCCAGAAAAAUAAAAUUCUUUAUGAAUUUGUGAAUGGAAAUGAAACCCAAGGAACUAAUAUAUUUGCUUACCAUCCAGUUGAAAGUAUGCCAAUGAAAUAAAGUGCAACUGUCACAGAAGUGCACAAAAUAAGGUCAUGUUUUCUACAAAAGUUCACCAAGUUGAUUCAAACUACAAAUGGGAGUCAAGAAAAAAGUAAAACUAACUGAACUGUCACAGUUCAACUGUGAGAAAUGUUUGGUAAAAGUAUGUUUUGUUGUCAGAACAGCAGUGAAGUGGUUAGAGUAAAACUGUCUUCAUUGUUUAAAGGUCCAAUACUAAGGAAAGUAAACAUUUUAAUUUCUUUUAAAAAGCACAGAAACUUUUUCAUUUUAUUGGAAAAUGAAAGUUGGUAUGUAGAAAUUCGAAAUAAAUCACAGUAUUUGUA